GUCCCCUUCGGGGUGACAUACGAAAAAUUGGAACGAUACAGAGAAGAUUAGCAUGGCCCCUGCACAAGGAUGACACGCUUUCCCGGAGUGGUAGACCUACGGGUCUCACUAUUUAUUUUU
rfam:Trametes cinnabarina, BRFM137, WGS project CCBP01000000 data, contig: scf184902